rnacentral:rRNA from 1 species
GACGAACGCUGGCGGCGUGCUUAACACAUGCAAGUCGAACGGAAAGGCCCCUUUGGGGGUACUCGAGUGGCGAACGGGUGAGUAACACGUGAGUAACCUGCCCUUGACUUCGGGAUAACUUCAGGAAACUGGGGCUAAUACCGGAUAGGAAUCCUUGCUGCAUGGUGGGGGUUGGAAAGCUUCGGCGGUUUUGGAUGGACUCGCGGCUUAUCAGCUUGUUGGUGGGGUAGUGGCUUACCAAGGCUUUGACGGGUAGCCGGCCUGAGAGGGCGACCGGCCACAUUGGGACUGAGAUACGGCCCAGACUCCUACGGGAGGCAGCAGUGGGGAAUAUUGCACAAUGGGCGGAGGCCUGAUGCAGCAACGCAGCGUGCGGGAUGACGGCAUUCGGGUUGUAAACCGCUUUCAGCAGGGGCGAAGCUUGUGGUGACGGUACCUGCAGAAGAAGCACCGGCUAACUACGUG